rnacentral:lncRNA from 13 species
GGCCUGUGCCCUCAGACUCAGCUAAUUUUCAUAUUUUUGGUAGAGAUGGGGUUUGGCUAUGUGGGCUGGUUGGUCUUGAACUCCUGACCUCAGUUGAUCCUCCCGCCUCAGCCUCCCAAUGUGCUGGGAAUACAGACAUAAGCCACUGUGUCCAAACUAUGUAUUUUUUUUUUAUAAUCUUUUUCUAACCAAUCCCCUACAAUCUAGCUUUUAUUCCCACUGCACAACUGAAAAUGCUCUCUCAAGCUAAAAUAUAACCAGUGACUUCUUUCUCUCCUAUUCCAUAUCUUUCCUGACAUUUCUAUAGCCCUUAAACCUAUAGCUGAUUACCUUGUCUAUUUCGCCAUCUAAAAGAGAAUCUGACUACUACAAUAAUCUGCAUGAUGUUAAAUUGGAAACUGUGACUGCUUACUGUGGGUUUACAUAAAGAUACUAUAGAUAUCUGGAUUAUUCUACAAUGAGUAUCAGCUCUUAGCAAUUAAAACUCAAGCUACCCUCAUGAGCCCACGAACUCCAGACCAGAGACACGGUUUUGCCAUUGGCCAGGUUGGUCUCAAACUCUUGACUUCAAGUGAUCCGCCUGCUUCAGCUUCCCAAAGUUCUGGGAUUACAGGAGUAAGCCACCACGCCCAGCCAGGUGAAUUAUUUUAAAAUCUAAAUGUAUACUUGUUUUGAUAACAAACAUAUUUUCAAAAUACUAAAGUCUUAUAUAUACGCUUUUAACGGGAAUAGGAGAAAAAGAGUUUAUGCUCUGGGUUUCUUGAAAGUAUUACUAUAUCCCCCAAAAGUAGU